UACGAGGGGAGCAAGCGUUUGUUCGGAUUUACUGGGCGUAAAGGGCGCGUAGGCGGUCAGCACAAGUCAGUUGUGAAAUCUCCGGGCUUAACUCGGAAAGGUCAACUGAUACUGUGCGACUAGAGUGCAGAAGGGGCAACUGGAAUUCUCGGUGUAGCGGUGAAAUGCGUAGAUAUCGAGAGGAACACCUGCGGCGAAGGCGGCUCACUGGCCCGAUACUGACGCUGAGGCACGAAAGCGUGGGGAGCAAACAGG
rnacentral:rRNA from 1 species